rnacentral:lncRNA from 10 species
AUUUUCUCUCCCCAAUGUGCUGUUGAAACAUCCGUGAAUUCCAGUUGGUGGUUGUUUUCAUCUGCUUCAAGCCUAGCCCUUGGGUACAGAUGCAGCCGUGUUUCUGGGUGCCAUUUGGAGUAGCUACUUUGAGGACAAGAGACAAAAAGCCUGAGGAGAAAGUCACCAUGAAGGAAACAGAAAGAUUAAACAGCAUGCGUGAUCUUUGAUUCAGAGUCCCCAUCUCACCCUGGACUGCCUUCCUUUGGAAUUCCCUUGUGGAAAAAAAAAUUAAACU